rnacentral:rRNA from 1 species
GUGGGGAAUAUUGGACAAUGGGCGGAAGCCUGAUCCAGCCAUGCCGCGUGUGUGAAGAAGGCCUUUUGGUUGUAAAGCACUUUAAGCGAGGAGGAGGCUCCUUUAGUUAAUACCUAAAGUGAGUGGACGUUACUCGCAGAAUAAGCACCGGCUAACUCUGUGCCAGCAGCCGCGGUAAUACAGAGGGUGCGAGCGUUAAUCGGAUUUACUGGGCGUAAAGCGUGCGUAGGCGGCUUUUUAAGUCGGAUGUGAAAUCCAUGAGCUUAACUUAGGAAUUGCAUUCGAUACUGGAAAGCUAGAGUAUGGGAGAGGAUGGUAGAAUUCCAGGUGUAGCGGUGAAAUGCGUAGAGAUCUGGAGGAAUACCGAUGGCGAAGGCAGCCAUCUGGCCUAAUACUGACGCUGAGGUACGAAAGCAUGGGGAGCAAACAGGAUUAGAAACCCUUGUAGUCC